CUUUGACUGACACAAAACCUCAAUUAUGGAUGUGUUGCAUUGAUUUAUUUUUUGGAACAUAAUUACAUUACAGAUCUUUAGGAAAUGUGUUGUUUAAGAAUCCAAAGAGGUGUGUUGCAAAAUUGAUGGAAAUAUUUUUUCUUAAAAACGCAGAAUAACAACUUGAGUGAAGGGGUUUGAAGCAGAGGCGUUGAUAGGAUCACAAUAGUUUCGGGGCUUAGGUACCCUAUACGGAAGCGCAGGAAAUAGUUGAACGGGGAAGCGGAAAAGAGGACAACAUCGGUACUGGUGCUCCACUGAGUGUUGAGGCCAAUGUGGUUCAAUUGGUAGGGCUUGCAACUCCUGGGUUGUGGGUUUGACUCCCACGGGUCUGUUUGAAAAUAUACUCACUACUGUAAAUCGCUCUGGGUAAGAACGUCUUGCUAAAGGAUUUAAAUAUAAUUUAAAUCAACGUUUUUCGGUCACACAGAUCAGGAGGUUGUUGCUGAUGUAGCGACCUGGUUUAGUUACACGAAACAUACAUAAAUGGGGAAUAAUAAGGAACGUUGAAUGUCAAUGAUACAAAUGAGAAUGCAUACGUACAUCAACAAUAUAUAAUGCCGGGAAUACAGAAUGUAUAACCGUAGUGAGUAAACAAUAUAUAAACUGUAUUUAAAGUGAUAAGGGCUCUUAUGUCAUGGUUGUGUGUGUGUCAGAUUAGCGCACGCGGAUGUGUGGAUGACACAACAUUCCGAAGAGUCGUAUGAAUGCGGAGCGUGCUGUUACAGUAGAACAAUUACAAUAUAGGACAUGCGCGGAUUUUCCGUGGUCAUUUAUUUCCUCACCAAGAUCCAAUACAGACCUAAUCCGGCGGCAAGAUAUUUUUGCUACAAAACAAUUUUCAUAGAACAUAAGGUGAGUACUCAAACUCAAUCUCGAAAUCUAGUUAGCUAGCUCAGUUAUAUGCGUAGGUAAGCAAAGUGUGUUUCUAUCUAAUAAUAUGAACUACAACAAUGUGCGCAGUGUACCUAGCUAGUUAAGUACACUGGUAUUUUUUUUAAAUGGGGCUUUCUAUGCGUUUUGUCCUUUCAUCCAAACGCAAACUGCGUUUUAGGUAACUGUAAACGGACCUUUUGAAAAACUUGUUUCAAGGUGAAGAUAUCCAGAGACUCCGUUUUCAGUGUUUACAGGGAAAACUGAGAUUUUGUCGGGUUAUGUCGGGGUGCCUCUCUUAUCUCGGGUUUUACGUAAGAGUGUGCGCCGUUCUCUUUUGUUUACAAGAGGCAAUUUUGUGCAAUUGCGGACGUAGUUAAAAUAGUGCUGGUUUUAAUCUUGCUAACAGGAAUUUACAUGUUUACCCAAAUGUAGUUACUCUCCCACGGUGUUGAGGAACAGAGGCAAAGUAGUGGUAUUCCGAUGGUCUUGCAUGGUGUGGCCCCCUUAUGCUGACAAAGCCCGGAUUUUAAACACAUUGUUCUGAAGAUCUCCCCAAAACCAGCCAAAGGAUGGAAGCAAUACCCAGCACGAAGUACUCUUUGUAAUAUUCUGUGUACAGCCGUAUUUAUUUUUCGAAUGUAUGUAUUUAUAAUACUACACAUACAUAAUUAUUUUUAUUACCUUCAUUAACUGUGCAUGGUCCUUGUAAUCUGUUAGAGAAUAUUUUCACAAGAUUGCAGAGUGGUGGGAGAAGUCAUGUGUGACAUCAGACAUCAAAGCUGACUAGAAGCAAGAAUGCCAAAGAGGCCGACAACAUAUCAAGUCACUAGCCAUCCAAGUUCCAGACCAGAUCGCAGGCCAGACCAGACCAGCAUCUGAAAGGAAUGAACUUAAAUAGACAUGCGAGUUGGAGGCCAGGAGUGGAGGUCCAACCUACCACUUCAAGUCAAAUGGAAGAAAGUAACACUCUUGGAACUCCAAGACCUUGUUUUCAGACCUGUGAGCAACGUGUCCCACCAAACUCUACAGACCUCAAAGUUGUCCUUAACCAGGGACAGAAUUUUAAGCAAACCAUGUGGUGUGUGUUCGAGACGGUCUUCACACCAGACUUGGCAACCCAAACCAACUGAACUGGUGCGGGAGGGGGCAGAAGACUGUCAUCUGGUCAAUGCCACUGAAGGAUGCUGUUAUGUGUUCUGUUCUUAAAAACCCAAGUUUGCCAGUAAUUACUGAGGUCGCGGUUGAAAGGGCGGAGACGGCUGGAGGGAAAUACCUACUGAAGAAGAGGACGAUUAAUUUGUAGCUUAUAUAAUGCACAAUUGUUUGGUGUUUUU
ensembl:lncRNA